AGCCUACCUAGCUACGGUAUGGUGGACGCGCGGAGGGUCAAGGGAAACCUUUGAUUCUGUGAGCCCCGGUAGCCC
rnacentral:tRNA from 1 species